UCCCAAAAAUAAACGUCCCAGUUCGGACUGUAGUCUGCAACCCGACUACACGAAGCUGGAAUCGCUAGUAAUCGCGAAUCAGAAUGUCGCGGUGAAUACGUUCCCGGGUCUUGUACACACCGCCCGUCACACCAUGGGAGCCGGUAAUACCCGAAGUCAGUAGUCCAACCUCGUGAGGACGCUGCCGAAGGUAGGAUUGGCGACUGGGGUGAAGUCGUAACAAGGUAUC
rnacentral:rRNA from 1 species